rnacentral:rRNA from 1 species
CUUGGUAAUUAUUGAGGAAGGGGUACACCUGUUUCCAUCUCGAACACAGUAGUUAAGCCUUCUCUCGCCGAUGAUAUUGCGGAGUUGAUCCGUGAGAAAGUAGGUAAUUGCCAAGA